GAUGAACGCUGGCGGCGUGCCUAAUACAUGCAAGUCGAGCGAACAGACGAGAAGCUUGCUUCUCUGAUGUUAGCGGCGGACGGGUGAGUAACACGUGGAUAACCUACCUAUAAGACUGGGAUAACUUCGGGAAACCGGAGCUAAUACCGGAUAAUAUUUUGAACCGCAUGGUUCAACAGUGAAAGACGGUCUUGCUGUCACUUAUAGAUGGAUCCGCGCUGCAUUAGCUAGUUGGUAAGGUAACGGCUUACCAAGGCAACGAUGCAUAGCCGACCUGAGAGGGUGAUCGGCCACACUGGAACUGAGACACGGUCCAGACUCCUACGGGAGGCAGCAGUAGGGAAUCUUCCGCAAUGGGCGAAAGCCUGACGGAGCAACGCCGCGUGAGUGAUGAAGGUCUUCGGAUCGUAAAACUCUGUUAUUAGGGAAGAACAUAUGUGUAAGUAACUGUGCACAUCUUGACGGUACCUAAUCAGAAAGCCACGGCUAACUACGUG
rnacentral:rRNA from 1 species